rnacentral:rRNA from 1 species
GAUGCAGCAACGCCGCGUGAGGGAUGACGGCCUUCGGGUUGUAAACCUCUUUUAGCAGGGAAGAAGCGAAAGUGACGGUACCUGCAGAAAAAGCGCCGGCUAACUACGUGCCAGCAGCCGCGGUAAUACGUAGGGCGCAAGCGUUAUCCGGAAUUAUUGGGCGUAAAGAGCUCGUAGGCGGUUUGUCGCGUCUGCUGUGAAAUCCCGAGGCUCAACCUCGGGCCUGCAGUGGGUACGGGCAGACUAGAGUGCGGUAGGGGAGAUUGGAAUUCCUGGUGUAGCGGUGGAAUGCGCAGAUAUCAGGAGGAACACCGAUGGCGAAGGCAGAUCUCUGGGCCGUAACUGACGCUGAGGAGCGAAAGGGUGGGGAGCAAACAGGCUUAGAUACCCUGGUAGUCCACCCCGUAAACGUUGGGAACUAGUUGUGGGGACCAUUCCACGGUUUCCGUGACGCAGCUAACGCAUUAAGUUCCCCGCCUGGGGAGUACGGCCGCAAGGCUAAAACUCAAAGGAAUUGACGGGGACCCGCACAAGCGGCGGAGCAUGCGGAUUAAUUCGAUGCAACGCGAAGAACCUUACCAAGGCUUGACAUACACCAGAACGGGCCAGAAAUGGUCAACUCUUUGGACACUGGUGAACAGGUGG